GCCCCUUAGUUGUAGGAUAAAAACAUUAGGGAUAGCAAUCCCUAUUCCUGAUUGUUCCUCCAAGAUUCCUUCAAGAAAUCCAAUUUCGGUUUGGUUCAUAUGCUGUUCAAUGUAAUGCUUGGGGGAUAAGUCCAACUGCAUGGGCUGCAAUAAGAAACUCUAAAGCCUGUGUUUCAUUACUGGACAAGACUUUUCUUGUUGCUUCUUCAAGUUGCUUUAAGUAUA
rnacentral:lncRNA from 1 species